rnacentral:rRNA from 1 species
UACGGGGGAGCAAGCGUUGUUCGGAUUUACUGGGCGUAAAGGGCGCGUAGGCGGUCAGCACAAGUCAGUUGUGAAAUCUCCGGGCUUAACUCGGAAAGGUCAACUGAUACUGUGCGACUAGAGUGCAGAAGGGGCAACUGGAAUUCUCGGUGUAGCGGUGAAAUGCGUAGAUAUCGAGAGGAACACCUGCGGCGAAGGCGGGUUGCUGGGCUGACACUGACGCUGGAGGCGCGGAAAGCGUGGGGAGCGAACAGG